GGACCAAUGAUGACAAAUGGUGGCAUUGGAGUUAUGGACGAUGAAUGAUAUGUGUCUGAAACUCUGAGGUCCAACACAGCACAUAAUUAGUGUAUUCUCUCUGUUGAAAUUGACUUACAGAGAAAUGUCAGGAAUAUAUAGAUAAUAUCUAUGUAUUGAUUCCAUAGAUUGAUAUUUAUUAUUACCAUUGGAUCAAUGAUAGAUCCAUUAAACUAAUAUAAAUUAAUGUAUAAAGAACAAGAGGGUCAAGCAUUGUCCAAUAUGAACAUAUGUGUGGAGUCAAGAAAUAUUACUAAUCAAAAUUUAAAGCACUGACAUUCAUUUACAAAUAAAUGGAUAAAAGAUAUUACCACUUUUAGUAAGAAUAAUAUAGAAAUUGAUAAGUAAGAGUUGAUUUUAUUGUUCUGGGUUAGUCUCAUGAUAGAAGUGUUCCUUUGCGUAAGAUAAAUACACACACACACACACACACACACACACACACACACAGUGAACAAAUAAUAAAUACCUAAAUGACCUAGUAAAUGAAAUACAGAAAGCAGGAAUCAAGAAUCAAUGGAGAUAAGGUCUUAAUUUUGUUAUCAUUUGCUCUGCUUCAUACCCUUAGAAUGGAUACGCUCAGGUGAUUUAAGCAGUCUUCCAUGGCCACGAGCUCUGUGGUUGCCUCUGUAUAUUAAGAGCACAGAGAUUAAAAAUGGGUGCACUUGAGCCGAUUGAAACAUUCCUCCUUGCAUCUUUCUUCUGUGAUUGCAUCUAUUUGUUAGUAGCAUAGAGACCAAUAAUAGAUGGCUUGUGCUGAUGGAAGGAUUCCUCCCUGGUGACAUGCUGUGUCUGCCUCUUGAUUGGGAGCACGCAGACCUACAAUGAUGCACUUUUUAUGAUUUGAGAAUUCCUUCAUGGUCACGUGCUCUGUUUUUAUCAUGGUUGGGAGCCUGCAGAGCAAUAAGGGACAUGCCUUUGCUGAUUUGAGGAUUCCUCUGAGGUUGGGAGCUAAGUUUGCAUCAUGCUUAGAAAGGAGUGUGCAGACCUGUAAUGAUUGCACUUUGCUGAUUGAAGGAUUCCUUCAAGUCCAUGUGCUCCACUUGCACCAUUUUUAGGAUGGAGCCUGGAGACCUAUAAUGAACAACUUGUGCUGUGUUAAGGAUUCCUCCAUGAUCACGCGCCCCAUUUGUACACCAUGCUUGGGAAGGUGCAUGCAGACCAAUGUUAGUAAUAGUCAAAAUUCCUGUGUCGGUUUGUGUGGUUUGCUAAACAGGACUCAAUGUAUCAUGAAACAGUGUAUUAUAUAGUCAACUAUGGUCAACUAUGUCCCAGUGAUAUUUAUGAGAGGGAUCUGAAGUAUUUAUUGAUAAUGCAUAUAUGAAAAACGGAGAAGAAUUAAUGAAACAGAUAUAUCUGUGUUAGAAUGAUUCUGUAUAAAGAUAGGGAAUAUCAAGUCUGUUCUUAGUGUUUUGUGAAUCACAGAGUGUAAAAUUAUUCCCAGUGAAUUAAUGAAUAAAUUUAAAGACAACAUAGAAAUGAAUGCAGAAAAAGAGGGUCAACCC
rnacentral:lncRNA from 1 species